UAGAGGAGGAGGAGCCCGGAAGUAACUCCUGGUGGCGGCGCCCUGGGUCCUGGGUGGAGGGUCCGGCUGGCGAGGUCAGUGACAGGAGAAGGGUCCUGGUCAGGAUGCGGGGGCCUCAGCAGAGUGGCCUGGGCCGCGGACCUCAGAGGAGAAGAGGUGGCCUGACCCGCAGGCCCCCUGGAGAGUGGGAGGGCGACGGAGGAGCCCAGUGUGACCUGGGGAGCAGGAGGCCCCUUUAAAAGACAGACCCGCCCAGCCCCACUUUCCCAGGCUGCAUGCUGCACCGCAUUCAACUUCACGUGCUCCUGUCCUGCCUACUCUCAGGAAACCGGGUCAUCUCCAGUUUGUCACUAUUAUGACCAGCUCAGCCACCGCGGAUUUGGUCACAGCGUCCUUCUUUGCUAAAUUCCUGGAAUGGGAGGCCAGGGUGUGAGCAUGUGCACCUUGACGGUUUCUGAAAGGAACUGCCAAGAACCUUCCUGCAGGAGGCUCCUCUCUCUCCAAGGGGCCCAGGACGGGGUCUUUCCUCUCAGCGCGGCUGCAUGGCUUUAUAGGCCGACCCCUGCUGUUAUAUUCUUGCUUUAAUCCGUAUUUUAAUUAGAUUAACCAUCUUCUAGAUGA